GACGAACGCUGGCGGCGUGCCUAAUACAUGCAAGUAGAACGCUGAAGGAGGAGCUUGCUUCUCUGGAUGAGUUGCGAACGGGUGAGUAACGCGUAGGUAACCUGCCUGGUAGCGGGGGAUAACUAUUGGAAACGAUAGCUAAUACCGCAUAAUAGUAGAUGUUGCAUGACAUUUGCUUAAAAGGUGCAAUUGCAUCACUACCAGAUGGACCUGCGUUGUAUUAGCUAGUUGGUGGGGUAACGGCUCACCAAGGCGACGAUACAUAGCCGACCUGAGAGGGUGAUCGGCCACACUGGGACGGAGAAACGGCCCAGACUCCUACGGGAGGAAGCAGUAGGGAAUCUUCGGCAAUGGACGGAAGUCUGAACGAGCAACGCCGCGUGGGUGAAGAAGGGUGUCGGAUCGUAAAGAUCUGUUGUAAGAGAAGAAAGAGUGUGAGAGUGGAAAGUGCACACUGUGACGGUAUCUUACCAGAAAGGGACGGCUAACUACGUG
rnacentral:rRNA from 1 species